UUUUACUCCAGGAAGCUAUAUGCCUAAUUCUAUCCAUUGUUUACUGCAUUGCAUUUGAUUUUCUAUAACAAAUAAAAUUGAAUUCUCCAUUGAUUGCGCCGACGCUCACAUUAUAAUUAUAUGCUAUUAUUAUUGACUAGUCAUAUAUUUUCUUGGCGGGUGGGGGCUGCACUGGUGGCGUUCUACGAAUUUGCGCCGCGUGUUUGUGCGGGUAAGCUUAAGUGCAGAAUUUUUUUUGCGCGUUAUGAAAACAAUGCACUGCAGGUAUUUUAAUUAAUGCAACGAGCUGUAUGAAAUAUCGGUCAAGGGGUUGGAAACGUCGUUAUAGAGAAUCCCGACGAUUUUUCUUUUGCGUGUGUGUAUUUGGAGUUGAUUCACAGUUUUAUUUGUUUAUUUUGGCUACAUUGCGCCAAUUGCGCUUCCAUAGAAUAAAGAAACGUGCUUGCCGACUCGAUCGCAAGGGGACAGCCUGAUCAACAUCAAUAUCAGCAGCAAUGGCGGAUUUGCGCUUGCCAUGGCGCUUGCAAAGUUUUCAAUAGUUUUCGACUAUUAAGUGAUGCUUUUGCUAUUUUAACGUGUGGAGGUUCAUUGUACGUCUGUUUUUUCAAGUUUGGCAUGUGUUUUAACACAUGUGAAGGUGUAGUCUUUUCUUCUUCAGCGGAUAUUUGUACAAGACCCCGUUCACCGUCUAUCAGUGAAGGUGACUUAAACCGACAACAGCCGAGAAGGUGCAAACAGCACUGCGCUGCCUGGUUCUUGCUGUUGGCCUUUUCUUCUUUUCACAGUGUCCUUACUGUAAGUGCACUCCAGAGUUACAAUGCAGGAAUAUGCAUGUGUGCAUAAGCUUUCAUUCAAGAGUAACUCAUGAUCAUAAGUUACGUCAUCAUGGUUUCGUACCAUGUCACGGCAUCAUAAGUGAGACAUAAUAAAGAAGCCCUCAAAGUCUGCGGGAGAGACUAAUCUUGUGCGAGAUUGUGCUAUCCUUGCUGCACGCAGUGCAAUAUUAUAUGACUCUCAUGUCUAUGGUGGCAUUGUCGAUUAUGAAUGUUUCCUUACUGCGUUAAAAAAUGUGAGUGCAUCUUUCAGAUAAUAAUGGCAUUAUAGCUUCAGAGUUGUUCAAGUUUGGGGUACUUGUUCACUAAAAGUACAUUAUCAGAAAAGCUUUAGAAUGUCUAGGUCAUAAUUGCAUUUGAAGAACUAAGUCUUCCUACACAUAGCAAUUGGUAGCUUGCACAAUCUCAUCCCAGGUUUUUAAUCCAGUUUGACAUUGAAGCAUCCUGGUAGUAUUAAAGUACUUUAGAAAGAGGUUCCAGAAGCAUUGCCAAGUUUGCCACUUAGUGAAAUUUGUAGUUUGGAAACAAUUUAGGCUCUUAGCAAGAUUAGUAGUGAACAGAGGUUUUCACAUGGUGAUUGGUGUUGUCCAAAUGCAUGAAGAGGUCACAGUACGAGUACUUAAGCUGAUAGUGUCGGGUAACCAUAAGCACCAGCAGGGGCCCCGUAACAGUGUCCCCUUUAACUUCAGAUAUGUUGAAGGUGGUUUUUAUUCAUAGGCCCUACGCAGAGAGCAGCAACACAAUGCCUGGCAUGUGACCAGGGUUCGUCACAGUGUUUGCAUUUCCAGUGCUCGUAACUGAUUCCAAGCAUAAAUUUGCUUUAUGAAUUCUUUGUAGACAGAAGGUGCUUGAAUAUUGGUUGCAUGAAAUGCUCCAAUGCACACUGUAUAUGUACAGGGUGUCUUUUAUUACCAUACAGAUUUUCUUGUUUUAAAGUUAUGAGCGCAGCAAAUGUGGCAUUCUUGCAGAGGAAUUCCUCUAUUUUGGAACUCCACAAAUUUGGAGGCAGUCACAUUUUAGAGCACUCUCAUUUCUUACAAAUCUUGAAAGUUGCACCUAAUUCAAUAUAUUCAUCAUUGAAUUUGACUGGUAAAUCGAGGCAAUAUUGGAACCGAGUGUGCUGGGAGCGCAGAAAAGAAGGUCCCGCUACCUCAUCAGAUGGAAACACCCCCGACAACAGGCUCGAGAAAGUCUGAAACAUCUUGGCCAGUCAUUGUAGCAGCUGAUACGACACACUUUGCCUGGCAAGCAUGUGCAUCAGUGUGCCGUGUCAGGCUAUCAUUUAAGCUUUGUCCCACACUUCUUGACAGGGCACUGCCGCCUGAUGUGGAGCAGGAUGCACCAAGUUUUGAUUGUACUCAAUUGAGCGCGAUAAUGAAUAUUUCAAAAUAAGUGCAAUUUUCGAGAUUUCGAAAAAGAAAGGGUGUGCGUUCACAUGUGACUGCCUCCAAAUAUGCCAUUUAGAAGGCUGCCGCCAAGUUACUAAUAAAAAAGUGACUGAAUUUUUCAAAAUUAAUUUUCUGAAACUCGCAUUAGCAGCAAAGUGUGUCCUCCUCACCUAGAAACUCCUUUGCAAGAACGACAGGCUCUCUGUGCUCAAAACUUUUUGCUAAAUAUCUGCAUGGUUAAAAAAAACAACUAGAUAUGCAUAAUUGUUAAUGUAUGAAAAUCGUGCACUAUCACUUUUCAAAAUUUUUGUCCUAUGCAACACCAGAAAAAUUGGAAAUAGAAGCUUCAGGUGACCUAUCUGAUGUGCAAGUUGCAUGGCCAUAUUAUUGUUUUAAUUUUUCGCUAUUACCUUUUACUGUGAUGUCGCCACUGCAGCAGCUCGAUGGCUGUGGCUUUUCAUUCCAGGUCACAAAGCUGCACCCAGGUAGAGGCAGAAUCCAAAAAUGCUUGUGUACUUAAGUAUAGCUGCACAUUACAGAAUCCGAGGCCCUCAAGAUUUAUCCGUAGCCCUCGUGUAGCCCACGAGUUCCAUAUUUUUUAUUGGGAUUGAAGAGUAACGUUUGUGCUGUAUCCUUCUAUUUCAGACUAAAUAAUGUGCAUGCAAAAUUAUAUCUUCAAUACUUUACACCAUUGCACCAAUAUCUCUUGUGCGUUGAUUUUCUGAUGUCCUUGCAUUUGCUAUAGCAAGGAUUUUUAAAAAUCAGCCACAAAAGAAAAAAUAAAUGGUCAAGGAACAAAGUGGUGUGUAGCAGCUCCCUUUUUUUUAAUAGGCAGCAAGUUUUGCACUCGUGUGUUAGCAAUCGGCAGCAAGUUUUGCACUCGUGUGUUAGCAACACUGUUUCGCCAGUUGCGUACUUCAAAAGAAGUGUUACCUUUCUGCUUUGGAACUUUGUGGUUUUGUUCUGCCAGCUGCUUGACCAACACAAGCAAAAUGUACUUUGGAUAUUCCACAAAUUCAUUCUGUAUGCAUUUGGUACAAUAAAAUUUGUUUCAAGAAUGGACAAAUGCAGUGAUGGUUAAUUGAAAACUGCAACAUGCUGAGUUUCAUGCUUCAUUAAUUUUCUCAGCCCCAAAGAAAGCAUGCGAGGUUUGAAAAUGUAUCAUGUGACAUUAGUGCACUCGGUCUAGAGAACUGAUUAAUGCUGCACAUACAUUGAACAUGGUGGCCAUGACCAUCCCUCAUGAAUUGGCAUUCCCUGCCUAAACCACCUCACCAAGACAGCUUGUUAACAGCAAGAAAGCUGACGGGGCUUCCAAGAAUUUCUAUGCACUAUUUAUUACUAUCGCCCUACUGAAAUUGCUCCAUUGCUUUGCUGACAAUUGUCUUGACAAAAGUGGAAGCCGAAUCGGUUGAGGUCGAUCAGUUUUAUUUACAUACAACCUAUUAUAAAGUGGACCUUUCUUCGCCUCUUCAACUGUUCCCACAGCUGCUGCUGCCAUCUUGCACGCCACAUCGAGGAGGAGGGCAAUGUACAUGGCAGGUGCAUGGGAGGAUUUUCCAAGGAACUCUGGAAAGCUGUAAUCAGAUUGUGGGCAAAGUUAAAAACUUAAAUACAAAAAGGAUGUAGAGUAUUGUAACCUUGUACAUGUUGAUCACACCACAUGUUUCAGCUACAGCUAUAAGUGCCUUGUCUCAUCAAGCAAGCUACAGUUCUUGCAAUGUUACACUUUGUGAUACUCAGUAUGAAUUGAUAAGACUAGCUGCUAUUCUAGUGGUUGUGCAGGCCACAAGGGAACAGUGCCUGGCCUUUGUGCUUGUAUGUGUCAAUUUCUCUCUUUCAGUCUCGCCCAAGCCACACCAAAAUGUUAUCCACAAGUGUCGUGCCAAAAUGGCCUGGCGACAUUUCGUAUUAAGCCGUUUGACCCAUUUAUUGCACUGAUGCACACAGUGCAACCAAAUGAAGGAAAUGACAUCGCCUAGGUGAUUAUUAAAUUACCCUUCUAAAAUACCACAAGAGGAAUUUUGCUGUGGCAAGAGCCUUAGCAAAACCAUAAGAGACACAAAAAUGAAGGAAAAGCGACACCUUCAAGUUCCCGCACCGACUCACCAUGAGAAGCACGAAUUUUGGCAGUGUCUGCUUGAGCUUAGUUAUUUGGAGAUACAUGCAGUUGAAUGCUUUUACAAGCAUUGAGAUGCCCCACUAUGCUAGCUUGCCUUUUAUGGAUAUAGAAAGUUGUAUACUGCCACAAGUCUGCCUAUUCUUCCGAUUGGAAUCUAUAUUGAAGCUGCUUUGAGCAACGGGCGGUAUUCUAUUUCAGCGCUAAUGAUACAUUGACAGUAGUGUGCCUGGAAGGAAUAGACAAAAGCAUUGCAGAAGCUGCAGCACUUUGUGCUUGCUGAAUGAUCAUACGAGAAGGUAAAGAUGCCAUCAGAAAGCAUCCUUCGUAUAGAGUCUCUUUAAAAGAAAAAUACGACAUCUAGACAUGGUGACAGUUGUAGUGGCAAACUAAAAAUAUUACAGUGAAACCUCGUUAAACCGUAGUCGGCCGGAGCUCAGAAAAAGUACGUACUAAACAGUAGUACUGUUUAAGCGAAAUAGCAUGAGAUCGCCCACUUACCUGUAGAAAACGGAACUCAGAGAGAGUGCGAUGAAAGGGGAAAAAACAUGCACUAUUUAUUCACUUAGCGCGACAUAAGUGUUAUUUUCGUUUGAUGCCGCGGCGGCCUAGCACGACGACAGCAGCCUAAAACUUACUCAAGCUGCGUGCCAGCUUCUCAGCCAGCCCCCCUCCUCUCGGCAAACACUCGCACGGCAGAUUCCUCGUUGGCGUUACGUAUUCUCCGUGCACGCGCGCACUAGUGCUGCAUAAGUUCCGGGGCGCCUUUUCCAUUGCCAGGUGCCGGAGUUCGGAACACUUUUCGUUUGGAAUAGUUACGUUAUCGCGCCCCUGUUCUCGUUGCGACGAUUGCAUUCACGAGGCUGACGUAACACGCAGCUUCUGCCACUGUCCGGCCUGAAUCGCCCGUGCUGUCGCUUUCCGUGUCGUCCUCAUCACUGUCGCUAGUCGACAACAACAGAGGCAACGAUGGCGAAAAGUCGAACCUCGUAGCCGACAUCUCUUCGCGGUCGCAGCAGCGCUACCGAGCAACUUCGCAUUCCAAAUGCCACACACUGUAGUCAACAGCAGAUCCAUGUCGCGGGCCCGCGCCGACUUCUUAGUGUCACAUUCGAUAGCACGGACGAUGUCUAAUUUUUCUUCUAUGCUGAGCACCCGGCGUCCUUUUUUUUUUAUCCGAGCUUCGGCAUGACGGCAGUCCUCGCUUGCACGACGCCAUAACGCUCUCUCGCUUUCUGGCACGGCGUCGAAAUGAUGUUGAUGCGGCUUCACGUGCAAACGCACAGGGCGCUUGGAGGCCAUUGUACCGAUCUCUGAGGCUUGUUGUUCUGCCGGACCGCCCGGUGGAGACGACGCACCGCCGUGUUUGCGCGACGAAAAGUGGAAACGCUACGUUUUAACCGAUGCGUACGCAAUAAGCUGGUACGGUUUAUGCGGAUACAAAAUACAUUAUGUUCAAUGGCCGCUGAGUCGGGGAAUUGACUUUACUACUUUUAAACCGAAACUACUGUUUAAGCGGGUACGGUUUAACGAGGUUUUACUGUAUAAUGAUAGUUCAAGGUGUGGUAUGGCAUGUUUAUGCUAUUUCUGAAAAAAUAAACACGGCAAGUGUGUCCAUGCCAACAAUUGAGACAGGAUGUGCAGAUGCAAAGCUGCAAUACAGCACCAUGGCGUCAAAAGGACAGUAUGCAAGUGGUGGUCCAGCAUCAAAACUUCAAUGUCCCUACACUACAACACUGGGAGGCCAUGCUGCAUGACAGAAGCCUGUGUGGCCAGCAGGCGCUGCUCUGUCGGGCACAGGACGUGGCAGCAACUAUUUCUCCUAAGGAUUCAAUAAACGGAUUUCUCUACCUCACCCGCCAUGCGAGGGAAUGACAGUGCCACUACUCUCACAGGAUAUGGAUGGUGCACAGCACCACCUUGAGCAUCGGAGCGCACGUCUGCCUAUGAGCUCUGUGUACUACGAACACAAGUGGUGCAUGCGAGGUAACAUUUAACAUAUCACUGCCAAAUGCCAUCAAUGAACACAAGCAGCAAAGAAAGCUGCUUACAUAAUUUUCA